AUACGAGGUGCGCGUGCAGGGUGCGACCGUGUCCAGACUGGAUCACAACAAGGUCUACAAAGGCCAGCAGUCCGCCUCCAGAAAGGUGCGCUUGGGAGAAGGCUGUGAGGAGGUGCAGCACAUUAACACGUGGAAGCUGCAGCCGCACACGACGCUUGCCAGCUCGGAGGUGGCCGGCAUCUUCUUCGUCUGCCUACUGCUCCUCUCCGCUAUUCUUGUCGUUUUCAUCUGGAGACGGCGGCGGACGCUGUGCCCGAACAAGACGAGCGACAAGCCGGCGGGCAGCCAGGCCGGCUGGCC